GACUGGAGAUCCCUCCAGGAGGAGAGUGGUCUGAGGGGAACCACUGCUGGGCGCCUGGUGCCGGGCAGCAGUCGGUACCCCACUACCUGAGAGCGCUGUCCCAGAGUGCAGGGUGACUUCUUAUUCUGGGGGAGGGGUGCUGAGUGAUGGUCAAGCUGAAGAGUAGCUGGGUGAGCAGUUCACGCCCCCCAACGUGAUCAGAAUGUGGGUGGACUCAGCGAUUGAGUGACAGUGAAUGACAGCCACGCGAGUCACAGCAGGGCAGUUCGGCCACCCCAAACAGACGGGGUCAUGAAGGGGGAGGGGGCCGCACUUGACACAAAAGAGCCAGGAGCAGAGUAGAGAUGAAGGGAGUGGAGCUGGGUGCAUCUAGCUCCCCAGAUACUCGCUGCUCAUCCCCUAAUCUUAAGUGAUUCGCGGUCCUACAGCCGGCUGAGGGUAUAUUUCCCUUCCUUCAUGAUCUCCAACAGUGUUAAAGCAGAAGAAACUGAGGUAUCCAGAAAGAGAAAAGUAACUGGGAUUGAGAAAAAGAAAGAGAUCAGAAAACAGAGGUAAAGGGAGAUUAAACAUCUUAUCCAAGGUAAGAGCUAUUGCAAGGUAAAGCAGGCAUUUAUACCCAAACGUAUGGACCACGGUGGACUUGAAAAAAAGGAGAGAACUGGAUAAUGUGGUGACUCAGGAAUUGGGAUGCCACCAUUAAAAACACAGUAAUUGAGAAACAAGUUGGCUUUAAAAUGGCAUGAUGCAUUUGUUUCUACAUGUGUUUAGCUUAAUGUGAUAAUAUAGGAUCUUUUUAGAAAUAUCAUUAUUUCUGAGCUAUGGAAGAGUUCUCUGCACUUUCAGGAAUUAAUGAAGAACCCAAAUCCUGCAGUGUCUUUUCAUUAAAGGAUUUUAUCUAGUAUGCUCAUACUUCUCUUGCUACCUUUUUAGUUAAAUCUUCUUUUCCUUGCCCUUCAUUGAGGAAAGAGAUACCAAUUAAGAAAAGAUUUAAGCUUAAAAAUAAUUUUUUUUUUGAGACAAGCUCUCACUAUGUAGUUCAGGCUGGCCUUGAACCCACUAUGGAGCCCAGGCUAGCCUCAAACUCAUGGCAAUCCUCCUGCUUCAGCCUCCUGAGUGCUGGGAAUACAGGCAUGCACCACCACACCUAGCUAACAUUGUUUUUGCUCUCUGCCAGGUUUUUUUUCUUUCCUUUUUAAAAUAUCUGCACUGAUUGACCAUUAUGUUGAAAUUGAAUAGUUCUAUAAAAAAGGCAAACCAAAUAUUUUCCCUUUGACAUUUUCUUUUAAUGAUUUGUUUUUGUUUUUUUGAGACAGGGUCUCGCUAAGUAGCUCAGGCUGACUUUGAACUCACUAUGUAGCCUAGACUGACCUCAAAUUUGUUGCAGUCCUCCUGCCUCAGUCUCUCAAGUGCUGAGAUUACAAGCAUGUGCCACCAUAACCAGUCACAAUUCCUUAAUACAGAUUAAGCAUCCCUAAUCUGAAAUAAUCAGAUUAUCUGAAAUAAUCAGAUUAUCUGAAAUCUGAAAUACUUUAAAAUAAAAAACAUUUUGAACGUCGACAUGAUGCUCCCACUAGAAAAUUCCACACCUGACUUUAUGUGACAAGUCACAAUCAAAAUUGAGGCACACUAAAAAUCUAUAUAAUCACCUUCAGGCUAUGAAUAUAAGGUAUAUAUGAAAUAUGAAUGAAUUUUGUGUGUAGACUUGAAUUGCAUCCCUAAGAUCUCUCAUUAUGUGUAUGCAAAUAUCCAAAAAUUUGAAAAAAUACAAAAAUCUCACACACUUGUUCCAAGCAUUUGGGAUAAUGGAUAACCUCAAAUUUUCUGUUGGCUGGCCAGCUAAAAGUACAGUACCUUGUUUCCCAUCUAUUGUUGAGCCACAGUUGUCUCAGCAGAAUUAUCCUGAUACCUUUCCCAGCUGAUUACUAUCCUUCAGGUUAUAGAUGUGUCAUAGUAAGUGCUGACCCCAGCUGGCUUCCUCUUGCCCAUCCACUUUCUCUUGGCCUUUUUAUAUCUCUGUAUGUGAAAGUCAUGUUAAUUUCAGACUAACUUAGACAUAAUUUUUAAAUUUAAAGCAAUUAAUUUUUUAAAGAUUCUAUAUUCCAAACUCUGUAACUCCUAAAAUAUAUUCCAGAGCCAAUAAUGAUGUUAUCCACUCUGUCCAUUAGGGGAAGACUUGGAGCUUUAGACUCAGAGGUAGUCAGGCUGUGCCACUUAAUAACUUUGGCCCCUGGCAAGCUGCUUACCCUUCAAGUAUCAGCUCCCUCAUCUAUAAACCAUCACAGGGUUGUAGUGAGGAUUAAAUGAGUUAAGUUACAUAAAGUACUGGCUAUAAUAAGGCACUCAAUAAUUGGUAGCUGUUGUUCUAAACAAAUUUACUGUUAGCCAUUUCUCACUUCAGAAAGAUUCACAAGAUGAUCACAAGGUGAGAGAAUUCAUGACCUGGGUUAUGACUAGCACCUUAAAAUGAAGGAGCAAAGGGCUGACUUUAUUCUUGAUUCUAAUUGUUGGCCCCAUUUCCUUGCUUUCUCUCAUUUUGUAUAACUAAGCUCAGCUCUGCCAUAACAUGAAACAAAUCUCAUUUUCCUGGAUUCAGAUAAUUCUUAUGGCAGCAUAAAUGCUACUCAUUUGGAAACCAAAUGUUAGUCACAGAUGUGGUCUAAUUUUCUAACCAAGACAGAUAUUACCUGGAUGCUGAAUAUCAGUAACAACAAAUAUCAGGAAUUUCCAAGGGAGGCAUUUGUUACUAGUGAUUCACACAAGGAAUAGGAAAGAAAACUAGAAGUUUUGAGUGUUUUUUCCAAGGCAUUUUCACAUAACUUAACUCAUUUAAUCUUCUCAAUACCAUAAGAAGCUUCUGUUAGGGUGACCAUGUCCUAGGUGUCUCUAUUGCCCUGUCACUUUCUGUUAUCCCUAUUUUAUGGUUGAAAAAGAGAAUCUAAAGCAAGGAAGACAUUGAGUAUAUUGUUACAAAGCCAGAAUGCCUCUCUUUCUUUAUUUUUUUUAUUAUUACUUUUUUGAGUCAGGGUCUCACUGUGUAGUUCAAGCUGCCCUUGAACUCACUAUAUAGCCCAGGCUGGCCUCAAACUCAUGGUGAUCCUCCUGCCUCAGCCUCCCAACUGCUGGGAUUAUAGUCAUGUGCCACCACACCCGACCCAGAAUUUUUCUCUUUUGCAGUUAUAUCUCACAUCUUGUCCAACUACAGCCUGCCUUCUCUAACAAAGCCACCAUUGACCUGUUUUGUGUUAAAUCCAUAGAACUCAAGUCAUCAUCAUUAUACUUGACUUCUGUGCAAUAUUCCACACUGUUUACCAUCCCCUCCUCUCAAGUACUCUUCCUUUGGCUUCCACGGCACCAUUUUCCUGGUUCUCGCUCACCUCUCUAGCUCUCCUUUCAGUCUCCUUUUCUUCCUCCCCACUUAGAUAUUGUUCCACUCAGGCCUUCUGCUUAGAUCACACUUCACUCUCAAGUUGAUCUCACCCUUGACUUACUAUCUGCCAAUAAUUCUGACACUUAUAACUCUGACACAGAGCUAUCCUGUCCCAUUUACCAAAUAAGAUCAUGCAUACUUGUAUGCCCCCAAAUUACCUCAUAUAGGUGAUUUCAUCUUUCCCUUUCAGCAUUUCCCUGUUCCAUCAUUGGGCUCAUCAUCCUCCUAGCUGGCCAGGCCAGACACUUGAGUGUCACUUUUGCCUCUUCCCUCUUCCUCAGACCUGUAUUAGUCAUUUUCCCAUAUCUAGGACAAAAUACCUGACAGCCACAAUUUAAAGGAAGAGAGGUUUAUUUUGGCUCAUAGUCUCAGUCCAUACUUGGCUGGCUCCAAGACAGAAAUGACAUGGCCGAAAAGUGUGGCAGCGGACAGCUGCUCAUUGCAUGGUAGCCAAAUAGCAGAGAGCAGGAAGGAGCUGGGACAAGAAUACUCCCUUCCAGGUCAUACCCUCAGGGACCCACCUCCAACUUGAACCUCUCUCAACAGCGCAUUUAGAUACUGAACCCAUCAAUAGAUUAAUCUACCGAUGAGUAUAGAUAGCCCCUGCAAAAACCCAGUCACCUUCUAAAUAUAUGAGACUUUUGGUAGACAUUUUAGCCUCUUUUUGUUACCAGGGAUCAAACUCCAGAACUUGCGCUUUCGAGGCAGAGAGCAACACCACUGAGCUAAAUCCCAGGCUCCUGGCAGACAUUUCAGAUCUAAACCAUAACUUUGCUCUCUACCCAAUUACCAAGUAACUUCAGCUGAUGAACUGAUCUCCACUGCCACUUACCUAGUUCUGGCUGUCUUCAUCUCUCCCAGACUGCUGCAGUGGCAUCAGUCAGGCUGAUGUUGUCUCUACUCCCCAUAGCCCUUUCAUUCCAUUCCCUCUUUUUAAAUAUGCAAAUCUGACUAUGGCCUUCUCCCCAUAAAACUCUUAACCCUGAGCUUUUAAAAAUUUUUCUUUUUCUUUUCUACUUUCUUCUCUGUCUCUCUGUCUCUGUCUGUCUCUCUCUCUCUCUCUCUCUCUCUCUCUCUCUCUCUCAGUUGUGCAAGCACUUGAAUUAAAUACUUUAAAAGGGUGAAAUUUUUGUAUAUAAAUUAUACAGUAAGUCCUCGACUUAUGAACAAGUUCAUUUCAGGAGAAUGUUCAUAAAUCAAAUUUGUUAAUAAAUCUGACAAAGUGAGUCUUAGAUAGUGUAACUUUGAUAUAAAUAUAUAAUGUAUAUUGCUUUGCGCUUCCUAGCAGUUCUCUCCACAUCACUACUGCUUUUCCUCUUGGUUCCAGACAUCCUAGGCUCUGAUUGAGCACUGUACACUAUCAAAUUGUACACUGUAUACUAUUAAAUUGUACAGUAAACACACAGCAGCACAACUGUGACAAUGUCCGGCAGACACUUAAGCUACUUCUUCAAUUUGUUUGCAUCUACACGUGUUCAUAAUGCCAGGUCUUUUUGUAUCUAUGAAAGUUCGCAACUCAAAUGUUUGUGAAUCAGGGACUUACUGUAUAUCAUUUUUUUUAAAGCCAGAAACUUACCUGAUUUACAAAGCCUCCCAGGACCUGGCCUGGGCUCCACAUUUCCCACUGUUCCCUCUCUCCUCUCACAUCCCCCUCCUCUCAGCAACAAGCUGCACUUCCUUCUGCUUUUAAGCUCUCCACACUCUCACCUCUAAUAUUUGCUUGUGCUACUUAUUUUCUGCAGGAAGCAUUCUGUCCUCCACCUAUCCCCUUACCCUCUCCCUCCUCUUCAAGGAGCUAACUCCUUCAGGCUCAGUCUUCUCUGGUCUCCCCACAGGGGAUUAGCUGUUGCUGCUGUGUUGAGGCAUUUCAUUAUCUAUUUUGUAGCAUUUAUUACAUUUGCCCAUUCUAUGGAUAUUUAUUGAAUAUCCACACUGGGCACUAGGCUAAGUGCUGGUUGUUUAGUGGCAAGUAAGAGUUAUGAUCCCCAUUCUCAUGGAGUUUACAGUCUAAGGGAGGAAGAUGGACAUUAAGAAUUACACUAAAUAUUUUAAUUAUAGUUAAGAUGUUUCAGAGCAUCCUGAGAUGGUGUGAAAAGAGAUUUGAUAUAAUUUGAAGGAUCAGAGCAAACCUCACUGAGAAAGUGACAUGUGAUUGAGCAACUUUAACAGGAGUUGGGGAAAUGAUGAGUGGAGGGUGGAGUGUUCCAUCAGAGAAACAGCAUGUGAGAAGGCUCUAACUGGAAGGAGUUUGGAGGAGUUUCAGAAACUGAAAAGCCAAUGUGGGAGACAAAGAGGAGCCUGGAGAGCCAAAUCAUGCAGGUCCUUAGGCUAGAAGUAGAGCAGCUAAAAAGUUGAUGAGCACAAGGACAAAGUGGGAAAACAGGAGACACCUGAAACUUGGAAGAUCUAGUGGAGUCACUUUUACUAAUUGAGUAUCUCUUAUUAUCUGAAUGACAUGAACCCUUUGUAGUUAAGCUUCAACAGCCAGGCUUCCAUUGCAUGCAGCCAGAUACCAUGGUAUACUAUAGAGCAAUGAUGGUGAACCUAUGACAUGUGUGCCAAAGCCGGCUUUUGUUGUCAUUGAACGCUCUAAAAGGUUCGCCAUCUGGAGUAAUAUGAAGUAAUAUCUGUGUCUUCAGGCUGAUCAUUCAUGAUAAGCCUAUACAUUUCAUCUUCCUUACUGUUCUAUAGAAGAAUCAGAAUUUAUUACCCCACAUAUCACUCACUUUCUAGAUCUCUUCAAUUCUCUUCAAAUGGUGACAGUGGUCAAAUAGCAAGGGUCACUACAUUAUCUAAAUCUCUUUUGACUCUUGAGUUUAAUAGGUUCCAAAGUGGGGGUUAUGUGUACCAUAUUCCUGCAACAAGUAUUUAUUUAUUGCAAUUGUAUGCUAGGUACUACAUGGCUAUUGAGACCCAGAGAUUAUCUCAUCAGAUGACUGAAGCUGGAUGCCCAUGUCCCCACUAAACAGAAGGUCUCAAAGGGUAGAAUCUGAGCUCCUUCCAAUGAGAGAGACUUAAUUCCAGCAAUAUACUAUCUUGUUCCUCAUCUUACUCUUUACCCUAUCCCAACUUUUUUUUGUUUGUUUGUUUUUUGGUACUGGGGAUCGAACUCGGGUCCUUGCACUUGUGCAGCAGGCGGCAAAACCAUUGAGCUAAAUCCCCGGCCCUACCCUAUCCCAACUUUAAUAGUCUCAUUUCAUGUAUUCAUGUAUCAGGGUUUUUUUGUUUUAGUGUUUUUCAUGUGUCUAGAAUACCCAGUACUUGUGCUCCAUAUGUUGGUAUUUUGAAUGCCUAAUCUUUGAAUUUCAAGGUAGAGGUCAUUCAGGUUUCAAAUUUUUCAUGCUUUCUUACAACUAAACCUUCGGCUCUUGCUGAUCCACCACAGAAUGACUGUUUUCCCAGUAUCAGUACAUCUAUGUGCUUUCUCAACCUCAGCUGUAGGAAUGGAUAUAUUAACCUGAUCUUGAUCUCAUGAUUGGGUGUUAUAGUCCCAAGCGUAAAUGAUGGAGCCCCUCACUCAGCUCCAAGGCACCAAAAUAAAACUUGGGAUAACAGUGAAACACUUCACACUAGUCAUUAACAAAGCCCCAAAGGUUAAAGCUUUAGGAAUUUGAGCCAUGGGAACACUAUAGGUGUGACACAGAUGAGACAUGGAGACAGGUGUUAGGAAUUUGGGGACCACGUUAUAAUUUAACUUUUUUUUUUUUAAAGGAGGAAAGGUUUGGGCCGGGGAUUUAGCUCAGUGGUUCCGGCGCCUGCCUCACAAGCAAAAGGUCCCGAGUUCAAUAUCCGGUACCAAAAAGAAGGAAAGAAAAAAAAAAAAAAGGAGGAAAGGUUUAUUUAGCACUCAGUUUGUAGAGACAUUUCAGUCCAUAAUCAGCUGGCUUUGAGACAGGGUGGCUUUGCAUAGGAGAACAGUUCAUGGCACCCACAAGGUAGCAAAAGCAACAAGGGCCCUUAACAGUAUCUUUCUGCACUUUUUAUCCUAUCCAUACUACUUAGGGUGGGUAGUAUUCACAUCCUUAAUCCCUUGAGCCUAGCAUUGCACCAUGAAUCAAUUCCAGCAUCACACACUCUAGAAAAAAGCCACCUCUAUAAAGCCCCACCCAUGACUGCAUGAGGCCUUGGGGAGACAUCCAAACAUAAAUCAUGAUAUUUCAUCCCUGGCCCAGCAAGAGUUGUGUAUAUCCCUUUAAGCAUUUAGCUCAUCUCCAAGAGUUGCCAAAGUUCUAACAGUUUCAGCAUUGCUGAAAAGUCCAAGUCCAAAGUCUCUUCUGAGAUUUAAGGCAGAUUCUUAGCUGCAAGCCCUUGUGCAAAUGAAAAGAAAGUUGUAAACACUCCCAACAUUCAAUGGCACAA